AAAGCUGCUCUGUCUUCACAACGCCUCAGUUUCGAAUCAGCUGCCUUUAGAUUGGCUUUCUUCUUUUGGAGUGAAUUUUUUUUAAUUUUUUUACAAUACUUGGGUGCUAAUGACAAAAUCGAAGAGAAAAUUUGCGAUCACUGACAAGUUUCUUCCAAGACUCGCUAAAAACCUGUGCACCCGCAAAGGCAGCCGUCGGGCUAACACCGGGAACCGUCUGGAGCACGCCGUACUCACCCACAUUCAGCACGUACCGUAGAUUUUCUUCACCAGCGGCACUCAUCAUCAUCACCAUCACCAUGGCCCGCGGCGACGCAUACAAAUCAUCCAUGAAAACUAUUCAACAAAUCGACUUAUCAGCACCUGUUAAAAAACCAGUAACCAUGCCGAUUCAGCCCCCAAAGAAACAAGAACAAAAAAAUUACGGCGCUUGGGGGCCAAUAUUCAAGGAUAAAAAAUCAUUUACCGAAAUGCACCUUUGUUAAUUCCAGCUUCUUCAUCAUCAUCAUCAUCAAAUAAAUAUAAUUAAUUAGGCUUUAAAGUAACAUGUUAUUUAAUUGGCAAAAAUAAAUUAACUAUAUCGCUUCGUGUAUUUCAUUCUCUGUGGUCGUAGGGUCUAUAACUAACAAUUUCAUGUAAUCAUUUUAAUAUUAAAAUAUCAUAAAAACAGUA